rnacentral:rRNA from 1 species
AGCGAACGCUGGCGGCAGGCCUAACACAUGCAAGUCGAGCGCCCCGCAAGGGGAGCGGCAGACGGGAGAGUAACACAUAAAAACAUGCCCUUCAGUUCGGAACAACCCAGGGAAACUUGAGCUAAUACCGGAUACAUCCGUAAGGAGAAAGAUUUAUCGCUGAAGGAUUGGCCCGCGUCCGAUUAGCUAGUUGGUGAGGUAAUGGCUCACCAAGGCGACGAUCGGUAGCUGGUCUGAGAGGAUGAUCAGCCUCACUGGGACUGAGACACGGCCCAGACUCCUACGGGGGGCAGCAGUGGGGAAUAUUGGACAAUGGGCGCAAGCCUGAUCCAGCCAUGCCGCGUGGGUGAUGAAGGCCCUAGGGUUGUAAAGCCCUUUCGGCGAGGAAGAUAAUGACGGUACCCGCAGAAGAAGCCCCAGCUAACUUCGUGCCAGCCGCCGCAGUAAUAC